ACACCAUUCUGAGAAAAAAUAAUAACUCUUCAUUUCUGCUACUGAAAUUCCUCUCUGAUCCAUCAUCAGAGAAGAAAGAGGUCCACUUUUCCCUUCCCCUGCUCAGAACACACUGCCCUGAGAAGUCUUGCUCUGCACUCCGAAGACAGAAACCUCACCCUGGCACUUGCUGGAUUUCCUACUUUGUCUCAAGCAUCUGGUCUCCUUCAGGGACAAGUGCUAUGCUCAUGCUAGAUUAGAAGAAAAUACCAUUGUGAAUUCAAUGCUGUCAGUUGGAAACUCCUCUUCAGUUCAUUUGCCCAAAGUCACACUCCCAUCAUCAAUCCUACUCCUUUUCCUCCCCCUGCAUUUGCACAGAGGAAUGAGCCCUUCGAAGGCAGAGCCUCUUCCCAGAAUAUGAGAGCAGAGAGGUCUUAUGAGAAAAACCUGGGUCUUCCUGGGAGUUAACAAACAGCUAAUAGGAAGGAAGGGAGGGGAAAUGAAUCCCAGGCUUUCUUAAAACAUAUCAGGAAACCCUACACUGUCUGCUCCCCCUGUCUCUUUCAGUGCAGGAGAGAGGAAAUUGAUAAUGCUGCUUUACUUGGCAGUCAAAUUUUUCCUCUUAAUUCUGUUUAACCAUGUCCUGUAUGGCCACAGAUCUGCCACUACCCAAAUAUAUACCAAAUAUACACCAAAUGUAUGUUUAUGAAUAUCACCCUGAAGAAGAGCUUUAAAAUAUGAGGUAUUAUCUAUUACUCUGAAAUCAAAUUCAAACAGAAAACUUUAAUUACGUCACAUUGAAGUAAAUAUUAAACACCCUAUUACAGAGUAUUAGUUUGCAUACACUGCGUUGACAGAGAAUUGUUACAAUCCUAGCAGGAAGAGGUUCAACUUUCAACAUGAAAUCAUGGACAAAUGUGACAAUCUUGAAAUGUGACAACCAAGAAAAAGACUGAAAAAAAAUUAAGAACAGAUGAGUUUCAUGCAAACAUCACUUGUUUUGCAAAUUGAUUAUAUCAAGCAGAUGGACCACUUCAUCUUGCAGCUGUGCUACAUGUUCUGGAUCAAAGGGUUUUCCAACUUAAGCACCCAGAAAUGGACAGGAAGGAAGGAUAGGAACAGCCUAGCGGUGGAACUCCACCAUGAUACACACUGCCACUGUGUUGUGUACUCAGGGUUCAAAGAAAAGGUCUGCUUCUGACUGCAGGCAGAGCGUUGCACAUUGACAAAGCAGCCACGCUGACCUACAGCUGUUCACUCUGUGAUUCCUCCUUUCCCAGGGACCUGCAAAAUACUUUGAACAGUAACUUCAAGUUUUCUUGGGAAUCAUUAAAUUAAAAUGCCAUCACUUUCUUCACCACUAAAUGUUCCUACUACUCCUUUUGAUCUUUUUGUUUGCACAGAUGCCUUAUCUUUACAGGACAUCUCAAAUGCCCUACUGUGAUUUUCCCCCAAAUCCUAACAAUUAUUUACAGGCCCUUCCUUACAUCCUCACAUUUGAUGUGAUGCUGAAAGAUACACACUAAGGAGCAUGUAUCCGUCCUAACUGUACAGAGCAGCAGGCUCUGGCACCAGAAUCAUCACUGUUCUAGAGUUUUUUCUAAAUUUAUUCCAUUUCUCCACACUUCUCCAUAUCUCCUGAUAAGCCACUGCCCCUGGUGUUGCAUUUCUCCUACUGUAGACCAUGUUUUUCAGGGAAAAGAGUACAUCUCACAGACUAGAAACAUGGCAGCUCUCAGGCACUUCAAGAUCUCACCACGCACACAGGGCACAAGAGUCCCCCUGUGCACCCUGUGUCUUCCACCAACCCUCUCAUUUUCCCUGGAGUUCUGGCAGGCAGGAGAAACUCCAGUAUCAGAAGGGCCCUCACACCCCCAGUACCAACCCAGAGGGCUGCAGGACUGAUCUCACAGGAAGAAUAUAAAAGACUCUGAAAAUUACAUGGGGAACUACAUCUACCAUACACAUCUGCAGAGCCCAGAAAUUAUUGCUUCUUGGAUCAGUUUCUAAAAGCAUAUAUACAAAAAGGGUACAUACAAGCUAAACCUUGCCAUGUGGAUCUUCCAGCACACUUGCAGUAACAGUGGAAAUGAAAUGAGGGGGAAGAAGAGUGAAAAUGUUGUUUAGAUUCUUCUCUUUAAAUCAUGUGUCAUCAAUUAUGCCCUGCAUACUUAUUUUGUUGAGAACAGUCAUACAAACAGAAAGAUAAAUUGGACUCAUUCUACAUUCUUGUAUGGACUGAUUGUUUUGCACACAUUGAAAGAUAAUAUACAAGUUACUUCUAAUCUGAAAUGUAAGUUGUUUUAUUGAGCU